GACGAACGCUGGCGGCGUGCUUAACACAUGCCAGUCGAACGGAAAGGCCCUGCUUUUGUGGGGUGCUCGAGUGGCGAACGGGUGAGUAACACGUGAGUAACCUGCCCUUGACUUUGGGAUAACUUCAGGAAACUGGGGCUAAUACCGGAUAGGAGAUCCUGCUGCAGGGUGGGGGGUGGAAAGUUUCGGCGGUUGGGGAUGGACUCGCGGCUUAUCAGCUUGUUGGUUGGGGAGUGGCUUACCAAGGCUUUGACGGGUAGCCGGCCUGAGAGGGUGACCGGCCACAUUGGGACUGAGAUACGGCCCAGACUCCUACGGGAGGCAGCAGUGGGGAAUAUUGCACAAUGGGCGGAAGCCUGAUGCAGCAACGCCGCGUGCGGGAUGACGGCCUUCGGGUUGUAAACCGCUUUCGCCUGUGACGAAGCGUGAGUGACGGUAAUGGGUAAAGAAGCACCGGCUAACUACGUG
rnacentral:rRNA from 1 species